rnacentral:hammerhead_ribozyme from 1 species
GUCCAGCUGACGAGUUCCAAAUAGGACGAAACGCGAGUCCUGGGU